CCCCCAGUAGCGGCGAGCGAACGGGGAGCAGCCCAGAGUCUGAAUCAGCUUGUGUGUUAGUGGAAGCGUCUGGAAAGUCGCACGGUACAGGGUGACAGUCCCGUACACGAAAAUGCACAGGUUGUGAACUCGAAGAGUAGGGCGGGACACGUGGUAUCCUGUCUGAAUAUGGGGGGACCAUCCUCCAAGGCUAAAUACUCCUGACUGACCGAUAGUG
rnacentral:rRNA from 1 species